rnacentral:lncRNA from 1 species
CAAGUGCGCCGGGAGCUGUAGUCGAACCGCGGCUUCGCCCACCUUGGCAGUGAUGGGGAAGGGGCCGAUGUAGCGUGGCAUGAACUUGCCAAGGCCUUUCGUGUUGGGUGCCCGGAACGUGAAGUUCUUGGUGCUCAGCAGGACUUGCUGUCCAACCUCAAACUGGGCUUCGCGGCGCGUUUUGUCCGCGUAUUUGGCUUGGCGCUGUUUUGCGGCGU